UACGGAGGGUGCGAGCGUUGUCCGGAAUCAUUGGGCGUAAAGGGCGCGUAGGUGGCUUCUCAAGCGUGCGGUGAAAGCCUGGGGCUCAACCCUGGGUCGGCCGUGCGAACUGGGGGGCUGGAGCACUGUAGAGGCAGGCGGAAUUCCGGGUGUAGCGGUGGAAUGCGUAGAGAUCCGGAAGAACACCGGUGGCGAAGGCGGCCUGCUGGGCAGUUGCUGACACUGAGGCGCGACAGCGUGGGGAGCAAACAGG
rnacentral:rRNA from 1 species